rnacentral:rRNA from 1 species
CCAGACUCCUACGGGAGGCAGCAGUGGGGAAUAUUGCACAAUGGGGGGAACCCUGAUGCAGCGACGCCGCGUGGGUGAAGGAGCACCUCGGUGCGUAAAGCCCUAUCGGCAGGGAAGAAAAGCGAACAGGUUCGCCUGGACGGUACCUGACUAAGAAGCCCCGGCUAACUACGUGCCAGCAGCCGCGGUAAUACGUAGGGGGCAAGCGUUAUCCGGAUUUACUGGGUGUAAAGGGAGCGUAGACGGUAUGGCAAGUCUGAAGUGAAAGCCCCGGGCUCAACCUGGGAACUGCUUUGGAAACUGUUAAACUAGAGUGCUGGAGAGGCAGGCGGAAUUCCUAGUGUAGCGGUGAAAUGCGUAGAUAUUAGGAGGAACACCAGUGGCGAAGGCGGCCUGCUGGACAGUAACUGACGUUGAGGCUCGAAAGCGUGGGGAGCAAACAGGAUUAGAUACCCGAGUACG